rnacentral:misc_RNA from 1 species
AACCAUAGAAACCUGCGGAGUACCUGCGGAAGGAUCAUUUUUGGAUUCUAACCUAAACACGCCUGUGGGUAACCACUGGUUAUAAACCUUACCAACUCCUAUUAACUACAAUUGUCUGAUAAAAUACCUAAUCAAUACAACUUUUAACAAUGGAUCU